UUGAGUUUCUCAACGACAAAAUGACGAAGAUGAUUGCGUAGAUGACGUACGAUGAUGUCUGAAAAUGUUGAAAACGUAGCGUGUAUGUACGUGUGUUGUAUGUCUAUAUAUGUAUGUAUGCUUGAUCGUGUUGAUUUGGUCUCUGUCUCUCUCUAGUAAACUUCGUCGCGUUGCCAGGAGACCGAUAACCCUUGCGACAAAAGUUUUGAUCCUCCGUACCGUCGAUUAUUCGCAGACAAUUCUCCUCUUUUUUUUCUUUUUCUUUUUUUUUUGUUUAGUUUGUUUGUUAUUGUUGUUGUUGUUAAGUUCCUUUCCUUGAGUAGACGCGAAGCUCCGUCGCAUCGAUUCGAUCUUUGAAAAAGAAGAAAAAGGAAAGAAAAAAAAAUAAAUAAAAAGAUUUUUACGAUUUACGAGGUUCACAAGGUUUCAUCUUCUAAUCGAAAAUAGAAGCGUGCCAAUCAUCGUUGAUAAAUACGCAUACGCGUUUUAUCCUUUAAAAUCAAUCAAAUUUAGGAAAUUUAUUUUCAUUUAAUUUCAGAAUUUCGUAAUGAUUGUUCGAUUAGCGGAUAAUUUGGGAUCAUUAAUUAUCGAAAAAUCGAUAGAGAAUCUCAAACGUGUCUAAAUAUGAACGAUUAUAAACUCGCGCGCGAAAUAGAGAGAGAUAGAGAUAGAGAACCAGAGAGAGAGAGAGAGAGAGAGAGAGAGAGAGAGAGAGAGAGAGAGAGAGAGAGAGAGAUUUCGAUAAACAGAAACGCUCGAAUGGAUGGUUGAAAAUUCUCUAUCGUGUAUGCCGACAUAAAUUGCCGUAAUUACCAGUUCUCUACGCGUUCUAACCUGUGUAUAUACUCAUACAUCUAUACAAUACAUUUACGUUUAUAAACACAUAUACGUAACAUAUACCCGAGCGAUAUUGUUUUCCGAUGCAGUAAAUAACUAACAAAUGACGAUACGGUUGGCGGGCUCGUGCAGUGACUCUAAUUACUCGAAAUACGAAAGAUAAAAUGCUUUAAAUUUAUACCAAACCCCAUUAUAGAAAAUCAAUAAAAAACAAUCUGUAAGUUCGAAGUGGACCAACCUAAUGAGAGAAGAGGAAUAAUAUUACCACGAUGAUAUGAACAUAUGUAUAUUAUAUGAGCGCGUGCACGUGUGAGAUUGUCGUAAGAUUGUGUCACAAAGAAAACAGCGACCGCAAAACAGAGCCAAAACAAAAAUAUUCUAACAUAUCGUUACGACAACGACGACACGACGACGAACGCGGAGCAACUUGAUAAUACGUUCAAGGCUGCCUACUCGCAAAUAUGUCACUAUAGAUAUACGGAAUACAAGUUACGCACGCAAAUAUAUGUGUGCAACGUAAGCCCUAAACAUGUGCACCACACACCUAAGCGAAAUAAUGCAAUGAAAUUUAUAAGAGAUAUGUGUAUCGAAGUUGAAAUUAUGGCAAAAAAAAAAGAAAAAAGAAUUAUUUUUUGUAAUGCAAUCAUCUUUAUCACCAGUUAGGAAUAUGUGAGUUAAUUGAUGAUGCAUCGAUUGUCAAGAAAUUAGAUCAGAAAACGAUCGACGAUUUUUCGCCUAAUUGUUUCCUUGGAUUAUUAUAUUUCUAUGAUUCUUUCGUCGCAAAAGAAAUAAACGAAAAAAUAUCAUAACUUUUUAAUCAUUGUCUUGUUAUAUCGAUAAACCUAAUAUGAUGAAAAUAAAUAUAUAAAACUUCAAUUCGUUCGAAACUUUCCAUUUACGAAUUACUAUAAUAAUUCGAGAUUGAUCCAAAGUACACUUCUCUAACACAUCAUUAAAUAUAAUAUUCGAAUUCAAAGGGUAUAUGAACAAAUUUUUUGAAAGUCAUAUCCUGUGAGAGAUUCGUACUGAAAAAAAUUAGAGUUACCGGUCGGCUACUGCGCAUCGUCGAGGAAGGAUGCGAGCAAUUAAGUUACACUGCGUACUAUAAAAUGUGUUCGUCUGUGUUUGUACGUGUACGACAGACAGAGAGAGAGAGAGAGAGAGAGAGAGAGAGAGAGAGAGAGAGAGAGAGAGAGGGAGACAGAGGACUCGUGAAGUUAUCUCGCGUGGGGAUCGAGAUACCCGUCUUUCGAAUUAGAAAGAAAAAGAUGGAUGGAUAGAAGAAACAAAAUGUCGUAUGCACGCAUUUACAACGUGAGAGAGAAAGAGAGAAAGAGAGAAAGCACGUGCUCGUAGUAGAAAAAAAUAUGAAUCAUUUCUCUCCGCGCCAUUAACGCAUAUGCGUAUUCGCAAAGGACCGUCCCUUAGCUUACAUUCAUUUGUACGACGUAACCCCUCGCCUGCCCAUAAUAAUUUUGAAGAUCCCUGCGUGAUCCCUAUGUGUCUCCCUGUCGGAAAAAGAAGGGGAAAGAGAGUGCAAUAACUUCGAGCACCAAAAAUGUCAUUGUCCAUUAUCAAAACGAGAAUAAAUACGUAAUACCUAAGAUAACAGAUAUAUGAUAAAAAAAAUAAAUGCAUAAUGAAACAAAAAUAAUUCGCUUCCAAAUAAAAUAAAUAAUUACAUUAAAAUUAUAUAAAUUAUUAU